CUCCGAGACGGAUCCCGAGUAGUGCGGGGCACGUGAAACCCCGUAUGAAUCCGGCAGGACCAUCUGCCAAGGCUAAAUACUCCCUAGCGACCGAUAGUGAAGCAGUACCGUGAGGGAAAGGUGAAAAGCACCCCGGAAGGGGAGUGAAAUAGAACCUGAAACCGUGUGCUUACAAGAAGUCAGAGCCCAUUUUAGGGGUGAUGGCGUGCCUUUUGUAGAAUGAACCGGCGAGUUACGUUCCCGUGCAAGGUUAAGGUGAAGAGCCGCAGCCGCAGCGAAAGCGAGUCUGAAUAGGGCGACUUAUAGUACGUGGACGUAGACCCGAAACCGGGUGAUCUACCCCUGUCCAGGGUGAAGGUGCGGUAACACGCACUGGAGGCCCGAACCCACGCACGUUGAAAAGUGCGGGGAUGAGGUGGGGGUAGCGGAGAAAUUCCAAUCGAACUCGGAGAUAGCUGGUUCUCCCCGAAAUAGCUUUAGGGCUAGCCUCGGAAAAUAGAGUUGUGGAGGUAGAGCACUGAUUGGGUGCGGGGCCCGCAAGGGUUACCAAGCUCAGUCAAACUCCGAAUGCCAUAAACUUAGUUCCGGGAGUCAGACAGUGAGUGCUAAGAUCCAUUGUCAAAAGGGAAACAGCCCAGACCAUCAGCUAAGGUCCCCAAGUGUGUGUUAAGUGGGAAAGGAUGUGGAGUUGCACAGACAACCAGGAUGUUGGCUUAGAAGCAGCCACCAUUGAAAGAGUGCGUAAUAGCUCACUGGUCGAGUGACUCUGCGCCGAAAAUGUAACGGGGCUAAACACACCACCGAAGCUAUGGCUUGAUACUUUGUAUCAGGGGUAGGGGAGCGUUGUAUAAGGGUUGAAGGUGUACCGUAAGGAGCGCUGGACAUUAUACAAGUGAGAAUGCCGGUAUGAGUAACGAAAAGAUCAGUGAGAAUCUGAUCCGCCGAAAGCCUAAGGGUUCCUGAGGAAGGCUCGUCCGCUCAGGGUAAGUCGGGACCUAAGGCGAGGCCGAAAGGCGUAGUCGAAGGACAACAGGUUGAAAUUCCUGUACCACCGUAAACCGUUAUGAGCAAUGGGGUGACGCAGCAGGGUAGUGACGCGGACUGAUGGAUGUCCGUCCAAGCAGUGAGGCUGGUUAGUAGGCAAAUCCGCUAACCGUAAGGCUGGGCUGUGAUGGGGAGUGAAAAUUACAGUAGCGAAGGUCAUGAUCUCACACUGCCAAGAAAAGCCUCUAGCCAGGUGAAGGUGCCCGUACCGCAAACCGACACAGGUAGGCGAGAAGAGAAUUCUAAGGCGCGCGGAAGAACUCUCGUUAAGGAACUCGGCAAAAUGACCCCGUAACUUCGGGAGAAGGGGUGCCUCGGUAGGGUGAAUAGCCCGAGGGGGCCGCAGUGAAAAGGCCCAAGCGACUGUUUAGCAAAAACACAGGUCUGUGCGAAGCCGUAAGGCGAAGUAUACGGGCUGACGCCUGCCCGGUGCUGGAAGGUUAAGGGGAGUGGUUAGCCGCAAGGCGAAGCUAUGAACCGAAGCCCCAGUAAACGGCGGCCGUAACUAUAACGGUCCUAAGGUAGCGAAAUUCCUUGUCAGGUAAAUUCUGACCCGCACGAAUGGCGUAACGACUUGGGCGCUGUCUCAACGAGAGAUCCGGUGAAAUUUUAAUACCUGUGAAGAUGCAGGUUACCCGCGACAAGACGGAAAGACCCCAUGGAGCUUUACUGCAGCUUGAUAUUGAAUUUGGGUACGAUCUGUACAGGAUAGGUGGGAGCCUUUGAA
rnacentral:rRNA from 1 species